rnacentral:rRNA from 1 species
GUUGUUCGGAAUUACUGGGCGUAAAGGGCGCGUAGGUGGCCAACUAAGUCAGACGUGAAAUCCCUCAGCUUAACUGGGGAACUGCGUCUGAUACUGGAUGGCUUGAGUUUGGGAGAGGGAUGCGGAAUUCCAGGUGUAGCGGUGAAAUGCGUAGAUAUCUGGAGGAACACCGGUGGCGAAGGCGGCAUCCUGGACCAACACUGACACUGAUGAGCGAAAGCCAGGGGAGCAAACGGG